rnacentral:misc_RNA from 1 species
GUGAAUCAUCAAAUCUUUGAACGCACAUUGCGCCUUUUUCGGAACUCAUGUGCGUUUGAGUUCGCCAUUUAACAAAUACUUUGCAGCGUUUUUUGUUGCACACGUUGACGAGCAUUCCAAGCAUUUUAAAUUUUUGGUGGCGCAUAAUGAACAGCGUGAACGUUUUUUUCAGUUCGAGUGUAUUAAAAUCUUUGCUUGGCUUGUGAAAUAACAUAAUCUCGCAAUGGGUGUGGCAUUUUCUUUUUAUCCCUGCCCCCAUGCCACUCUUUCUCACGAAAGAAUGUCUAAUCUUCAGCGCCU